GAUGAAGAACGCAGCGAAAUGCGAUAAGUAGAGUGAAUUGCAGAAUUCAGUGAAUCAUCGAAUCUUUGAACGCACAUUGCGCCCUUUGGUAUUCCUUAGGGCAUGCCUGUUCGAGCGUCAUUUGAAACCUCAAGCUCAGCUUGGUGUUGGGUGUCUGUCCCCGCCUCACCGCGGGGACUCGCCUCAAAAUCAUUGGCGGCCGGUACGUUGGCUUCGAGCGCAGCAGAAACGCGAACUCGAGGCCCGGCGGAUCGGCGACCAGAAGUCACUUCUUCACCGUUUGACCUCGGAUCAGGUAGGGAUACCCGCUGAACUUAAGCAUAUCAAUAAGCGGAGGA
rnacentral:misc_RNA from 1 species